rnacentral:lncRNA from 1 species
CUAAUGUUGUUGGAGGCAAGUUAGAGGGAAGUUGUUGUAUGGAGCUGAACACUUGCGCGCCACUUAUAUGAAAGGUGAAAGACUCUUAAUAUGAAAAUAGUUGAUGGAGAAAGGGUAUUUGAACCUCCAACAUUGACGCUGAAAUGCAAGAAAUGAUUCGGAAAAUGGUGUAAAAUGAGGCUCUUGUGAAACAAAUGCUUAUGAGACAACAAAC